GAUGAACGCUGGCGGCGUGCCUAAUACAUGCCAGUCGAGCGAACGGACGAGAAGUUUGCUUCUCUGAUGCUAGCGGCGGACGGGUGAGUAACACGUGGAUAACCUACCUAUAAGACUGGGAUAACUUCGGGAAACCGGAGCUAAUACCGGAUAAUAUUUUGAACCGCAUGGUUCAAAAGUGAAAGACGGUCUUGCUGUCACUAAUAGAUGGAUCCGCGCUGCAUUAGCUAGUUGGUAAGGUAACGGCUUACCAAGGCAACGAUGCAUAGCCGACCUGAGAGGGUGAUCAGCCACACUGGAACUGAGACACGGUCCAGACUCCUACGGGAGGCAGCAGUAGGGAAUCUUCCGCAAUGGGCGAAAGCCUGACGGAGCAACGCCGCGUGAGUGAUGAAGGUCUUCGGAUCGUAAAGCUCUGUUAUUAGGGAAGAACAUAUGUGUAAGUAACUGUGCACAUCUUGACGGUACCUAAUCAGAAAGCCACGGCUAACUACGUG
rnacentral:rRNA from 1 species